rnacentral:rRNA from 1 species
GACGAACGCUGGCGGCGUGCUUAACACAUGCAAGUCGAACGCUGAAGACCUGGCAUCUGUCUGGUUGGAUGAGUGGCGAACGGGUGAGUAACACGUGAGUAAGCUGCCCUUUUCUUUGGGAUAACGACCGGCAACGGGUGCUUAUACUGGAUAUUCCCUGAUCUUCGUAUGGGGGUUGGAGGAAAGGUCUUUUCUGGUGGGGGUUGGGCUCAGGGCCUAUCUGUUUGUUGGUGGGGUGAUGGCCUACCAGGGCAUUGGCGGGUAUCCGGGCUGGUUGGGUGACCGGUGACAUGGGGACUGGGAUACGGCCCAGACGCCUACGGGAGUCAGCAGUUGUGAAUAUUGCACAAUGGGCUGAUGCCUGAUGCAGCGACGCGUCAUGAGGGAUGGAGGCUUUCGGGUGGUAAACCUCUUGCGAGCAUGGUCAAGCCGCAACUGUGCGCUGUGCUGAGGGUAGUGGGUAAAGAAGCGCCGGCUAACUACGUG